CCCUUAGAGUUUGAUCCUGGCUCAGAGCGAACGUUAGCGGCGCGCCUAACACAUGCAAGUCGAGCGUGAAAGGGAGCAAUCCUGAGUAAAGCGGCGGACGGGUGCGUAACACGUAGAUAACCUGCCCUUUGGAGGGGGAUAACGUUCCGAAAGGAACGCUAAUACCGCGUAAAGCAUUUGGUGGUUCGCCACUGGAUGGCAAAGGUUGGGACCCGCAAGGGCCAACCGCCAGAGGAGGGGUCUGCGGCCCAUCAGCUAGUUGGUAAGGUAAUGGCUUACCAAGGCAAAGACGGGUAGCUGGUCUGAGAGGAUGAUCAGCCACACUGGUACUGGAACACGGACCAGACUCCUACGGGAGGCAGCAGUGGGGAAUCUUGGUCAAUGGGCGCAAGCCUGAACCAGCGACGCCGCGUGAGUGAUGAAGGCCUUCGGGUUGUAAAGCUCUGUGGGGAGGGACGAAAGAGCACGUUCUAACAGGACGUGUGUUGACGGUACCUCCUUAGCAAGCACCGGCUAACUCUGUGCCAGCAGCCGCGGUAAGACAGAGGGUGCAAACGUUGCUCGGAAUCACUGGGCGUAAAGGGCGUGUAGGCGGACUUGCAAGUCAGGCGUGAAAUCCCUGGGCUCAACCCAGGAAUUGCACUUGAAACUGCAAGCCUUGAGUGUCGGAGAGGAAAGUGGAUUCCUGGUGUAGAGGUGAAAUUCGUAGAUAUCAGAGAAC
rnacentral:rRNA from 1 species